rnacentral:rRNA from 1 species
AGUGAACGCUGGCGGUAGGCCUAACACAUGCAAGUCGAACGGCAGCACAGUAAGAGCUUGCUCUUGCGGGUGGCGAGUGGCGGACGGGUGAGGAAUACAUCGGAAUCUACUUUUUCGUGGGGGAUAACGUAGGGAAACUUACGCUAAUACCGCAUACGACCUACGGGUGAAAGCAGGGGAUCUUCGGGCCUUGCGCGAUUGAAUGAGCCGAUGUCGGAUUAGCUAGUUGGCGGGGUAAAGGCCCACCAAGGCGACGAUCCGUAGCUGGUCUGAGAGGAUGAUCAGCCACACUGGAACUGAGACACGGUCCAGACUCCUACGGGAGGCAGCAGUGGGGAAUAUUGGACAAUGGGCGCAAGCCUGAUCCAGCCAUACCGCGUGGGUGAAGAAGGCCUUCGGGUUGUAAAGCCCUUUUGUUGGGAAAGAAAAGCAGCAGGUUAAUACCCCGCUGUUCUGACGGUACCCAAAGAAUAAGCACCGGCUAACUUCGUG